GUCAUUUCGUGGUGGGAUUUUAGUUCUUGGCCACUUGAAAGCUCUCAUUCUGAUUGUUAGGAGGAAUCUUAGAGAAAGGAGUUUUCCCUUGAGGUGAAGUAUUCCCAGGAAAAGGAAAUAGGAAGCCAGCAUCAAGGUUAAAGAGACACCUUUAAGACUUAAUUACAAAUAUCAGGAGGGAGACAGAGUGAUCCUGCCUUGCAUCUUGCCAAGCCACAG